GAUGAAGAACGCAGCGAACUGCGAUAAGUAAUGUGAAUUGCAGAAUUCAGUGAAUCAUCGAAUCUUUGAACGCACAUUGCGCCCGCCAGUAUUCUGGCGGGCAUGCCUGUUCGAGCGUCAUUUCAACCCUCAAGCCCCCGGGCUUGGUGUUGGGGAUCGGCGUGCCCUCGCGGCGCGCCGUCCCCUAAAUCUAGUGGCGGUCUCGCUGUAGCUUCCUCUGCGUAGUAGCAACACUCGCACUGGAUCGCAGCGCGGCCACGCCGUUAAACCCCCCACUUCUGAAAGUUUGACCUCGGAUCAGGUAGGAAUACCCGCUGAACUUAAGCAUAUCAAUAAGCGGAGGA
rnacentral:misc_RNA from 1 species